GCGGCACUAGCUCAGUGGUAGAGCACAACCUUGCCAAGGUUGGGGUCAAGAGUUCGAACCUCUUGUGCCGCUCCA
rnacentral:tRNA from 2 species